CAUCGUCUAAAUCCGACACCAACUUUUAGAUAUCCUAGAAUCUUGCCGAGCUAUAAUUAACCUAUAAUUUCGCUCUAAGCAUCGCAUUCAAAUAAAUUUAUUAACGAUAACGAUAACCCUUCGAUCAACAAUAGUAACUAGAUACACGGUCGGUGCAGAAAAUCCGUCUCGUCAAAUAACAGCUCACUUGAAAUGUGAGCUGUUAUUUUGUUUAGUUCACUUCAAACACAGCCAAUGUCAACCCAUCUCACAAUGCCGCAGUGUGUAUUCAAAAGUUGCAAAAAUAAUGCCCGAAAAAGCAAUUUAACGGCUGAAGUAUCUUACUUUCGCUUUCCUAGCAAUCACGUGUGCAGAAUGGAUCUCGAUUGUCGCCAGAGAAACAAGAGAUGACUUUUAUAAGCCAGCUAAGAUCUCCGCUUAUUGACACUGGACAUCUUUGCCUUCCGUGCUCACGGCUACUGAAACGUGGCCGAAACUUUGUUAUAAAAAUACCGCGCUUGAAACCGUUUAAACGUUGUUUUAUUAUGUGCACUUGUCGCGAAAACUUAAAAAUAAAUAUUACACAAAAACGUAACGCUAAUAAAAUAAUAAGUAAUGUAUAGAUACUAACAAACAUACAUUUCCAAAACAUAAAAAGUAAACAACUAAACUUUUACUUUAAUUCAUUAAUAAAUUAUUUUGGUGUUCAGCGCGACUCCCUUACUUCCUGUAGUAAAUAGAAAUCGGCAUUUCAAGAAGCAAAAAUAAAUAAAGCAAAACGAUGUUAGUUCUCAGAGCAAUUAAGGGAAAAGUUACUUUAUUUAUUGUAUUUUAAGAUUGAUUUAACAUUAAAAGUUGUUUAAAAUAUGUCUUUUUAUUGGUAAGUGACAGGAGUAAUUUAUUGCUUUGCUCCUUUUAUGUGACGAAUGAUCGUAAGUAUUAGAUAAUGUUUUGGAAAUUUGUGACUUUAUUACUAGGUGCCAUAGCUGUAACUAGUUUGAACGUAAAAGUGUUUCAAAACUUUUUUCUCCGUUUGUUAGUAAACGAAUGUAGCUAUAUAAGUAUACAUUCACGCGGACA